UGGGGAAUAUUGCACAAUGGGCGCAAGCCUGAUGCAGCCAUGCCGCGUGUAUGAAGAAGGCCUUCGGGUUGUAAAGUACUUUCAGUCGGGAGGAAGGUGGUAAGGUUAAUAACCUUAUCAAUUGACGUUACCGACAGAAGAAGCACCGGCUAACUCCGUGCCAGCAGCCGCGGUAAUACGGAGGGUGCAAGCGUUAAUCGGAAUUACUGGGCGUAAAGCGCACGCAGGCGGUUUGUUAAGUCAGAUGUGAAAUCCCCGGGCUCAACCUGGGAACUGCAUCUGAUACUGGCAAGCUUGAGUCUCGUAGAGGGGGGUAGAAUUCCAGGUGUAGCGGUGAAAUGCGUAGAGAUCUGGAGGAAUACCGGUGGCGAAGGCGGCCCACUGGGCAAAGACUGACGCUCAGGUGCGAAAGCGUGGGGAGCAAACAGG
rnacentral:rRNA from 1 species